AUUUGGAGAUUGCCAUCCACCAUCCACUUUUCUCACCCAUUCUUAUAUUUUAAAUUAUCUUAUUCUUCUCUAAUGCAUGAGUGAAUGAUAGAAAAUAUUAUUUUGUAACAUACUAUUGAAAGAUACUCUUUGUGUGAUAAUACAAAUCAUAUCAAGGUUUUUCAAAGUACCCUGAAGGGGAUUCGUUGGUUAUUUCAUUUGCAUCCGAUUAGUGGGGGCGAAUCGAACUUAAAGAUCCCACAGAAGACGUGAUCUACGAGUUCUCCUAUUCACACCACUUAACUUUUCAUUCCAGAGUAGUUACAUGUAUAUAUAAACAUCCUCGCUUAAAUAAUUCCAGUUGGACAUGAGUUAUUAAGAUUACCAAACAUUUUAUGUACAGACGAGUGAAGGAUGAGCUACAUGGGCAUCAUCAACACUCGAACAUUGUAGUGUGAUGUCUAUGUGAUGCUAGGGCCUAGCGUUGUCAUUUUAGUCCUAGAGUGACACUAAGGGAACCUAAGGUUAAAGACACUCCAGUUGUUCCUCUUUUACCCUAUGUCUGCCUUUUGUUAGUCCCACAAUUAUGAUAGUGUGUCAAUAUCUUGUCAUUUAAUUUACUAUCGAUGAUUGUAUCUUGAUAUUUGAUACCUCUUUACACAUGAAUAUCCUUUGACUAAGAACACAAAAGCUAUCGAUGGAUACGUUUGUACUAUGUAUAUCCAUUGUUUCAAUUAUUUCAUAAUUUUAUGCAAUUAAGUAAAA